UAAAAAGCUAUGAAGAGAAGAGUAAUAAGGGAGAUUAUCUAAAGAGAGCCAGGGUAGGUGAAAGCUGGUGAUAAAAGAUCUUAUGAACAUGGACUCUGAGCAAAACAUCUGAAUUUAUAUUGAAAGUGAUAUAUUUAAGAUGUUUCGGUUUCAACCGUUAUAUUGAAGGGUACGAUAGAAAUAUAUACCUAUUGAGAUCCUUAUUGAGAAAUAAGGAUGAAUUAGAGUGGUAACGCGUAAAUAAUAUGCCUCUAAG
rnacentral:ncRNA from 1 species